rnacentral:rRNA from 1 species
UACGUAGGGUGCAAGCGUUGUCCGGAAUUAUUGGGCGUAAAGAGCUCGUAGGCGGUUCGUCGCGUCGGCUGUGAAACCCGGAGCUCAACUCCGGGCCUGCAGUCGAUACGGGCGGACUGGAGUUCGGCAGGGGAGGACUGGAAUUCCUGGUGUAGCGGUGAAAUGCGCAGAUAUCAGGAGGAACACCGGUGGCGAAGGCGGCUCUCUGGACCAUGCUGACGCUGAGACACGAAAGCGUGGGUAGCAAACAGG